UCCCCCAGCUUCUGAGGGAGACACACAUGUAAUCCUUUAAUCUGGGCAGGAGGUGAGCACUAGGGAGAGAUCUAAGGGCAGAGGCCGCUGACACAGAGGAUAAAGUCUGAGCCACGGAGACCUCCCGGACAGCAACCGUAAUAUUUGGGAGCACCAGGAACGGAACCUCAGUGCGUAUGUCUCAGAAGCAGCUGGACCAGCAUGUCGAGGGGAUUUUUCCUUAGGGCUCCCAGUAAAACAGGUGCAUGCCCGAACGCUCAGAAGCAUGGAGAAGAAAUCAGGACAGAAAUGUGGAGGCAAACAGGCCCAGCUCUCCCUACAGCUGAUUUUUAAGAACACAUUUCUUCCCUAUUUUAACAUAAUGCAAGAUUUAUUUCUGUCAAGCAAUACUAGAUUAUACGCACACGCCUACCUGAACAGGAGCCUAUGUGCCCUUAUUUUUUUGCACAUGACUCAGACCCCGGUUUCCCAGAGUCUCUUGGUCCUCAGAGACACUGCCACUGUGUCACCUGCCACAGUCAGAAAUCCUCAGACCCUAACCAUCCACGUAUGUGACCACUGGACAUAUCAGUGUGGAAUUGGAAGUGAGCAGAAGAUCCCAGUCGUUUCAAAUGGCUCUGGGGCCGAAACGACAUUUGAGGUGAAAAAGAACCAUGAUCUCCGUCCCUCUUAACUUGACCCAGCUCAUUGCUCAAGAGGCAGGCUCCCCACUGGUUCCUCUUCCAAGUGCUCUUAACAAACUCAUCAGGCCUCACAAAGCUGUAUUUCCCCCUCUCAGUCAGAAAACACAGAUCAAUAUACUCAGCAGAAGCACUUA